rnacentral:rRNA from 1 species
GACGAACGCUGGCGGCGUGCUUAACACAUGCAAGUCGAACGGAAAGGCCCUGCUUUUGUGGGGUGCUCGAGUGGCGAACGGGUGAGUAACACGUGAGUAACCUGCCCUUGACUUUGGGAUAACUUCAGGAAACUGGGGCUAAUACCGGCUAGGAGCUCCUGCUGCAUGGUGGGGGUUGGAAAGUUUCGGCGGUUGGGGAUGGACUCGCGGCUUAUCAGCUUGUUGGUGGGGUAGUGGCUUACCAAGGCUUUGACGGGUAGCCGGCCUGAGAGGGUGACCGGCCACAUUGGGAGGGAGAUACGGCCCAGACUCCUACGGGAGGCAGCAGUGGGGAAUAUUGCACAAUGGGCGGAAGCCUGAUGCAGCAACGCCGCGUGCGGGAUGACGGCCUUCGGGUUGUAAACCGCUUUCGCCUGUGACGAAGCGUGAGUGACGGUAAUGGGUAAAGAAACACCGGCUAACUACGU